AGUUUGAUCCUGGCUCAGAUUGAACGCUGGCGGCAUGCCUAACACAUGCAAGUCGAACGGCAGCACAGCAGUAGCAAUACUGUGGGUGGCGAGUGGCGGACGGGUGAGGAAUACGUCGGAAUCUGCCCAGUCGUGGGGGAUAACUAGCCGAAAGGUUAGCUAAUACCGCAUACGACCGAGAGGUGAAAGCGGGGGACCUUCGGGCCUCGCGCUAUCGGAUGAGCCUGCGUAGGAUUAGCUAGUUGGUAGGGUAAAGGCCUACCAAGGCGACGAUCCUUAACUGGUCUGAGAGGAUGAUCAGUCACACUGGAACUGAGACACGGUCCAGACUCCUACGGGAGGCAGCAGUGGGGAAUAUUGGACAAUGGGCGCAAGCCUGAUCCAGCCAUGCCGCGUGUGUGAAGAAGGCCUUCGGGUUGUAAAGCACUUUCACUUGGGAAGAAAAGUUCAUCGUUAAUAGCGGUGAGCCCUGACAUUACCUUGAGAAGAAGCACCGGCUAACUCCGUGCCAGCAGCCGCGGUAAUACGGAGGGUGCGAGCGUUAAUCGGAAUUACUGGGCGUAAAGCGCGCGUAGGCGGUUUGUUAAGUCAGAUGUGAAAGCCCUGGGCUCAACCUGGGAACUGCAUUUGAUACUGGCAGGCUAGAGUGCGGUAGAGGGUGGUGGAAUUCCCGGUGUAGCGGUGAAAUGCGUAGAGAUCGGGAGGAACAUUCGUGGCGAAGGCGGCCACCUGGACCAGCACUGACACUGAGGCACGAAAGCGUGGGGAGCAAACAGGAUUAGAUACCCUGGUAGUCC
rnacentral:rRNA from 1 species